rnacentral:rRNA from 1 species
AUGCUUUCACAACUUGACUUCAAAAUAUUUGGUUUGGAGACCAUCAAAGAUCAAUAUGUGCAUGAUGCUGAUUUUAAAGAUGUAAUGCAAAAUUGUAAAGAAGGAAGAAUGUGGAACAAGUUUGUCGUUAACGAUGGAUUUGUGUUUCGUGCUAACAAGCUAUGCAUUCCAGCUAGCUCCGUUCGUCUUUUGUUGUUGCAGGAGGCGCAUGGAGGAGGACUAAUGGGACACUUUGGCGUGAAGAAGACGGAGGACGUACUUGCUACACAUUUCUUUUGGCCAAAGAUGAGACGGGAUGUUGAGCGGGCUGUUUUGAAGAAUAAUAAGAAAAUGUGGGAGGAAUGCUUGCCUCAUAUUGAAUUUGCUUAUAAUCGUUCAUUGCAUUCUACUACUAAGAUGUGCCCUUUUGAAGUUGUGUAUGGUUUCCUACCUCGUGCACCUAUUGAUUUGUUGCCUCUUCCAUCUUCGGAGAAGGUUAAUUUUGAUGCUAAACAACGUGCUGAAUUGAUUUUAAAAAUGCAUGAGUUAACUAAGGAAAACAUUGAGCGCAUGAAUGCUAAAUAUAAACUUGCUGGAGAUAAGGGUAGAAAACAUGUUGUGUUUGCACCUGGAGAUCUUGUUUGGUUACAUUUGCGUAAGGAUAGAUUUCCUGAUUUGCGCAAAUCAAAAUUAAUGCCACGUGCUGAUGGUCCCUUUAAGGUGUUAGAGAAAAUAAAUGAUAAUGCAUAUAAACUUGAGCUGCCUGCCGAUUUUGGGGUUAGUCCCACUUUUAACAUUGCAGAUUUGAAGCCUUAUUUGGGUGAGGAAGAUGAACUUCCGUCGAGGACGACUUCAUUUCAAGAAGGGGAGGAUGAUGAGGACAUCAAUACAAUUGUUACACCCACAGGCCCUGCUGCUAUACAUACUGGACCAAUUACUAGAGCUCGUGCACGCCAACUAAAUUACCAGGAAACAGACCCUCGUGGUCAGGUUGAUCGUGCUCCGGCGUGGUCAAUAACCUCUCGGAGUUGGUUUAGCGAUUGCUAA